rnacentral:rRNA from 1 species
GCCCAGACUCCUACGGGAGGCAGCAGUAGGGAAUCUUUCACAAUGGGCGAAAGCCUGAUGGAGCAACGCCGCGUGCAGGAUGAAGGCCUUCGGGUUGUAAACUGCUUUUAUAAGCGAGAAAUAUGAUGGUAACUUAUGAGUAAGGAUCGGCUAACUACGUGCCAGCAGCCGCGGUAAUACGUAGGGGGCAAGCGUUAUCCGGAUUCACUGGGUGUAAAGGGAGCGUAGACGGCCAUGCAAGCCUGGAGUGAAAGCCCGGGGCCCAACCCCGGGACUGCUCUGGGAACUGUGCGGCUGGAGUGCGGGAGGGGCAGGCGGAAUUCCUGGUGUAGCGGUGAAAUGCGUAGAUAUCAGGAGGAACACCGGCGGCGAAGGCGGCCUGCUGGACCGUAACUGACGUUGAGGCUCGAAAGCGUGGGGAGCAAACAGGAUUAGAUACCCUAGUA